rnacentral:misc_RNA from 1 species
UAGUCGUGUAUGCGUCAGGG